rnacentral:rRNA from 1 species
CUACACAUGCAGUCGAGCGGUAACAGGGGGUGCUUGCACCCCGCUGACGAGCGGCGGACGGGUGAGUAAUGCAUAGGAAUCUGCCCAGUAGUGGGGGAUAGCCCGGGGAAACCCGGAUUAAUACCGCAUACGUCCUUCGGGGGAAAGCAGGGGAUCUUCGGACCUUGCGCUAUUGGAUGAGCCUAUGUCGGAUUAGCUAGUUGGUGGGGUAAAGGCCUACCAAGGCGACGAUCCGUAGCUGGUCUGAGAGGAUGAUCAGCCACAUCGGGACUGAGACACGGCCCGAACUCCUACGGGAGGCAGCAGUGGGGAAUAUUGGACAAUGGGGGCAACCCUGAUCCAGCCAUGCCGCGUGUGUGAAGAAGGCUUUCGGGUUGUAAAGCACUUUCAGUGAGGAGGAAAACCUUCUGGUUAAUACCCAUGAGGCUUGACGUUACUCACAGAAGAAGCACCGGCUAACUCCGUGCCAGCAGCCGCGGUAAUACGGAGGGUGCAAGCGUUAAUCGGAAUUACUGGGCGUAAAGCGCGCGUAGGUGGUUUGAUAAGCGAGAUGUGAAAGCCCCGGGCUUAACCUGGGAACGGCAUUUCGAACUGUCAGGCUAGAGUGUGG